AUUGAACGCUGGCGGCAGGCCUAACACAUGCAAGUCGAGCGAGCGGCGGACGGGUGAGUAAUGUCUGGGAAACUGCCUGAUGGAGGGGGAUAACUACUGGAAACGGUAGCUAAUACCGCAUACCAUCAGAUGUGCCCAGAUGGGAUUAGCUAGUAGGUGGGGUAACGGCUCACCUAGGCGACGAUCCCUAGCUGGUCUGAGAGGAUGACCAGCCACACUGGAACUGAGACACGGUCCAGACUCCUACGGGAGGCAGCAGUGGGGAAUUUUGGACAAUGGGGGAAACCCUGAUCCAGCCAUCCCGCGUGUGCGAUGAAGGCCUUCGGGUUGUAAAGCACUUUUGGCAGGAAAGCGGUACCUGCAGAAUAAGCACCGGCUAACUACGUGCCAGCAGCCGCGGUAAUAC
rnacentral:rRNA from 1 species